rnacentral:tRNA from 1 species
CGGGCUGUAGCGCAGCGGUAGCGCGUCCGCUUUGGGAGCGGAAAGUCGCUGGUUCGAUCCCAGCCAGCCCGACCA